GUAUAGGGUCUGGAGCAAAGGCUUGUGUGGGACCAAAUAUUUUUCCUCACAUCGAUAACGUGAAACUGCCAGAGGCUGCCCUUCCCAUCAUAUCCUCAGUUUUACAGGUGUUCCCUCUUGGUGACUUCAUGGAAACAGCUUCAAGAAAACGCCUUUUCUGUCCUCCCCCGCCCUCCUCUUACUCCUGCCCCUCCUCCUCCUCCUC
rnacentral:sRNA from 1 species